rnacentral:other from 1 species
AGGCCUCUGCCGUGUUCGACAACCGGGCCUGUUUGAAAAGAACCGAUAAAAACCCAUAUAGGGAAGUGUAAGACCGAAUCCUGCGGGACAUGGCGGCUGCCCACUUUGAAUAAUGGGUUCUUUCCAAUCGGCCCAACCGGCACAAUGGUGGAGGCUUU